rnacentral:rRNA from 1 species
AAUCAACGCUGGCGGCGUGCCUCAGACAUGCAAGUCGAACGCGAAAGUUUCCUUCGGGAGACAAGUAGAGUGGCGCACGGGUGAGUAACACGUAGGUAAUCUACCUUUGGAUGGGGAAUAACAACCGGAAACGGUUGCUAAUACCGCAUAAUGCAGCGGCACCUAAUGGUGACAGUUGUUAAAGCGGGGGAUCGAAAGACCUCGCGUCUAAAGAGGAGCCUGCGGCGGAUUAGCUAGNGGUAAGGUAAUGGCUUACCAAGGCUACGAUCCGUAACCGGCCUGAGAGGGCGGUCGGUCACACUGACACUGACAUACGGGUCAGACUCCUACGGGAGGCAGCAGUCGGGAAUUUUGGGCAAUGGGCGAAAGCCUGACCCAGCAACGCCGCGUGAAGGAUGAAAUCCCUCGGGAUGUAAACUUCGCAAGAACGGGAAGAAUAAGUA